UACAGAGGUCUCGAGCGUUAGGCGGAAUCACUGGGCUUAAAGCGUGUGUAGGCGGAUGCCUAAGUACCUUGUGAAAUCCCACAGCUUAACUGUGGAACUGCUUGGUAUACUGGGUGUCUUGAGCCACUCAGGGGCGAGCGGAACAAAUGGUGGAGCGGUGAAAUGCGUAGAUAUCAUUUGGAACGCCAAUGGUGAAAACAGCUCGCUGGGGGUGUGCUGACGCUGAGACACGAAAGCCAGGGGAGCGAACGGG
rnacentral:rRNA from 1 species